CAGCCGCCGCGGUAAUCCGUAGGUGGCAAGCGUUGUCCGGAAUUAUUGGGCGUAAAGGGCUCGCAGGCGGUUUCUUAAGUCUGAUGUGAAGCCCCCGGCUCAACCGGGGAGGGUCAUUGGAAACUGGGAAACUUGAGUGCAGAAGAGGAGAGUGGAAUUCCACGUGUAGCGGUGAGAUGCGUAGAGAUGUGGAGGAAUACCAGUGGCGAAGGCGACUCUCUGGUCUGUAACUGACGCUGAGGAGCGAAAGCGUGGGGAGCGAACAGGAUUAGAUACCCCCGUAGUCCCUGUCUCUUAUACA
rnacentral:rRNA from 1 species